rnacentral:lncRNA from 13 species
ACCUGUUAACAAGAUUGUAAUGAAAAUUCUGCGUGAUCUAAACAUCCAAAGAGAGAAAUUCUAGAGUGAUUGUAUUUGGGGACCGCAAAGAUUUUAUUGCUGGAUAUCACUGAAGUAGAGGCUGUAAAAGCAGUGAGACUCUACCUGGGGCCGGGUGGCAGGGAAGACUUUAGAAAACAUUUCUCCAAUUCAAAACAAAAAAUAAACAAAAAAACUGCAUAAAAGGUUGAGCUGAGCUUUUUCUUUUUUUUUUCAGGAUAUAUUUUCAAAUGUAUAGAUUUUGAAGGCAAAUUGCCAAUUCACGAAUGUAUGGAAAUAAAACACAAGAGCAAAUGCCAAAUGCCUGUGGUUUAUGUGUGCUUCGUAAAAUCACGGGGUUUUUACAUUCGUGUGGGUAGUGGAGAGAGAGAAAAUGAUAGAUAAAAACCCGUUUGGGUUUGUCAUGGAUUUCCAUCCACGACAGACAUUUUCUUAAGCUUCCAAAUUCUUCAUACAAACACUUGUCUAAUAUUUUCAGCUUCUAACACGGCAGCAGACAUUUCCUUAUUUUGCUUCUCCGAAGUGCUUGGGAAAAGAUAACCCAAGAGAACCUUCUAAGUGAAGCCUGUCCUUGCUGCUUGACCUUAGGAAACCAUGGGAAGUGUGUGGCCAUCUCUGCAAGGAUGCUGGGUGUGAAGAGUUCUAGAGUCUGUGUGGUGAUCAGUACCAUUUCCAGAGUCUGUGUUGUGAUCAGUACCAUUUCCUUACUGUCAAAAACGGCCGCGGGCAGAAAAUUACCACAUUCGUUGUAACCACCUGGAGGAAAGGCCGGUUCUCGUCCCUGAUACGGAGCUUGCUCACGGAAGUGCCCUGGACUUUGAAUGAAUGCGGGACCGUUUGCAUUAAUACCCGCAAUGUUCUUUCUCUGAUGACACUACGAAGCUGUCAUUCCCUAUUUCUAUGAUCGCUAUUGGACCCAAGUAAAUAAUUUCAAUUUCAUGUCUGCUUGGGAAGCUAUUAAAGGAACUGUUUUUUCAUCUGAUACAUAUAACUUAUCAGUAAGGUCUUAGAACUGGGGUUCCCUCAGAGACGAUUGCUAAUAUUUUCUGAGAUUACCUGUUCAUCGU